UACGUAGGGUGCGAGCGUUGUCCGGAAUUAUUGGGCGUAAAGAGCUCGUAGGCGGCUUGUCGCGUCGUUCGUGAAAACCCGGGGCUCAACUCCGGGCCUGCAUUCGAUACGGGCAGACUAGAGUUCGGUAGGGGAGUCUGGAAUUCCGUGGUGUAGCGGUGAAAUGCGGUAGAAUAUCAAGUGGAACACCAGUGGCGAAGGCGAAUCCCUGGAAAAUACCUGACACUGAGGCACGAAAGCUAGGGGAGCAAACAGG
rnacentral:rRNA from 1 species